rnacentral:lncRNA from 1 species
AAACAUCCGGCUGAGACAAUGCAGUUUCGGGCUCACAGCAUUGUUCCUGGAGAGACCUGAAGAUCCCUGGAGGCUCCGGAAGCCAUGCAAGGAGCGACCCCAGGGGAGCUGUGGUUCCCAGGCCUCAGAGGUGAAAGACAGUGGCUUGCAAAUGCAGCGCCUCAGAGGUGAAAGAGACAGUGGCUUGCAAAUGCAGCAACAGCAUCCCAUGAGUGCAGGGGAGCGCUCUGGGUGGAGCAGAACAGUAAAGUUCAUAAAUUCAGCACGUCAGAGCAGCCUGUCUCCCCUAUUUACUCUGCAAGUCCGUGACAUCGCGAGCGCUCGCUACUUUACUUUGUCUUAAUGCUGGCGCGUUAACCUCUGAACGGUGACUUUCCAGCCACUAGCCUGGAGGCUGUAAGGUGCUUCUGUGCCUAUUUUUAGCCUCUUUUCCGCGAAGAAAAGAGAAAAUAAUAAUGUCUCGUUCCGGGGAUCCUUCUCAAGCAUGCACAGGAUCCAGGAGGCAACAGUAACAUCCCUAAGGAGCCAGUCUCAGAAGCAGGUGUGGGGCGCCCUCUCUCUGUUAUCAGAGAGGGUGCCGGAAAGCAGCUGGGCCACAGCGGGGCACUGGGCAGGAUCGCUACGAGGAAUUCAAUAAGGUUGGCUGCAGAGUUUCAGAGAGCAAAGUGGGGGAGGGGAACUCUGAGUGUGCUGUGCCUGUUCCCUUUGGGCUCCUCUGCCCACUGUGCUGUCUCAGAGGGACAAAAUCAAGCACAAAAGAGCCCUAGAAAUGUGUCAUGUGGGCCACACCCCCAAACCCCCGACCCCGUUCAUUUCUGAACAGAAUUAUCAGAGCAGAUGACCUUUUUCUAAAAUGGUGCUUCUGAAAUGAGUCUAUCCUUUGUUUUGUUAUCAGAAUCAUACGAUGUGAAAUUAGAGAAAUGUGUGAACGCAAAAGGAUUCUAGAUGAAACCCACCCAGAGCAGUAUUUUCUGUAUUUUGCAUUUUUCACGUAAACUCCUUGAUUAUGUACAUAUACAUGUAUGAGGAAUGUUGAUGCAUGGGCUGUGUCUAUAUUUUUUCAUAAAGCAUCUCACAUAUUACCUUUAAAUGGCUGCCAUUUCUUAUGGAGUAGUGUGCAUGUGUGAAUGUGUAUGUGUAGAUAAUAUUUAGAUAUAAGGAUAAUAAGUUUAUCUAUAUUUUAAUAUUGGUCUAUAUUCAUAUUUUUCUGGGCUCCGUUCUCAGCAGUAGAAAUGAUAGCACCUGUAUUAAUACCAUAAUGGUUAAUAUGUGUAUGUGUAUAUGAAUAUAUAUACACAUACUUACAUGUGUGUAUAUAUGUAUAUAGAUGUGUGUGUUCUGUAUGUGUGAGUGUGUUGUAUAUGUAUAAUCAAAAUGCUUUCACAAAAUGAAUGGAGUAAGCAUGGUGAUACAAGCCUCGUGGUAAUUCCAGGACUCACCCAGUUAAGAGAAGUGAAUGCCUCACAGUUAAAGGUCAGCCUGGAUGACCAGUAACUUUCAGGUUAGUCUGUUUUAAGAUUUGAGACCAUGUUUGAAAACCAAACAACACAGCAGCAAAAGAUAAACAAAUAAUUUGACCGUCCCCAGACUAUAAAACACUGACGCGCUGAACCGCUAUUAAUGUUCAUUACAUCUUUUAAUCUUUGUAGAUUUGAUUUAGAAAAAAAAAUAAUUUAUAGAGAAAAAUAAGCUCUCCCUGUUCUCCAUGAUGGGAAGAAACAGGAAUGGAGCCCCGCUGUGAUGACUGUGGAUCAAGAAAUCCUAGAAAACAGAGCAAAACUCAGAGGCUCUGGGAAGUGUGUGCUCUGCUGGGUUCACUAAUGUUUUGAAAGUGAAGUCAAAUAUGAUAGAACUCAAAGAACAAUAAAGAAACAAACAUAAAAGUGGUAGGUCAUAGCAGACAGUGUUAACACCAAGCUCUGCCGGUGUCUUACUCAUUCCAUGGUGCCUGGCACACAUCACAGACCUUGUCACUGCCAGGAAAAGGAGGGAUGGAGGCUCAGGCUGUUCAGCUUGCACUUUUAGUUACAACUUUGCUCCAGGAUGUGUUUGGAUCCAAACUGUGUUCAGCCAUCAAAUUAGGCCACCUCUGAGAAUCACUAAUAGAAAUGUCAGGUUGAACAAGAAAACCUACAGAGUGAACUCACCUGGGCCCACUGGGGCUCGUGGAGACUAAACUGCCAACCAGAGAGUAUGUAUGGGGUGGACUUAGGCUCCCUACAUGUAUGUAACUAUUGUGUAGCUGGGUCUUCAUGUUGGAACUCCUAAUGCAGGAGCAGGGUCUAUCUCUGAAUACAUUGCCUGUCUUUGGAUGCCUUUCCUCUGACUGGGCUGCCUCAAUGGAAGAGGGUGCGCCUAGACUUACUGCAAACCCUCUUGAUAGACUGAGGCUGUUUGAUGUCCAUGGAAGGCCUCCCAUUUUCUGGAGAGAAAGGGAGAAGGGAUGGUGGGGGAGAGGAGGGGAGAGAAAGGGACUAAGAGGAAAGGAGGGAGGAAAGCGGUGAUCAGGAUAUAAAGUGAAUAAAUAACUUAGUCAAUAAAAAAAGAGAAG